AUUGAACGCUGGCGGCAGGCCUAACACAUGCAAGUCGAACGAGUGGCGGACGGGUGAGUAAUGUCUGGGAAACUGCCCGAUGGAGGGGGAUAACUACUGGAAACGGUAGCUAAUACCGCAUACCAUCGGAUGUGCCCAGAUGGGAUUAGCUGGUAGGUGGGGUAACGGCUCACCUAGGCGACGAUCCCUAGCUGGUCUGAGAGGAUGACCAGCCACACUAGAACUGUGAUGCGGUCCAGAAUCCUACGAGAGGCGGCAGUGGGGAAUGUUGCACAAUGGGCACAAGCCUGAUACAGCCAUGCCGCGUGUAUGAAGGAGGCCUUCGGGUUGUAAAGUACUUUCAGCGGGGAGGCGUUACCCGCAGAAGAAGCGCCGGCUAACUCCGUGCCAGCCGCCGCGGUAAUUC
rnacentral:rRNA from 1 species